GUCUACUAAGAGAUUAUUUGUAGUCUAGCCUGCUCAGUGAUAUUAACAUUAAAUAGCCGCGGUAUUUUGACCGUGCAAAGGUAGCAUAAUCAUUAGUUUUUUAAUUGAAAGCUUGUAUGAAUGGUUGGACAAAGAAUCAACUGUCUCUAUUGUUAAGAUUGAAUUUAACCUUUAAGUGAAAAGGCUUAAAUAUUCCGGGGGGACGAUAAGACCCUAUAAAGCUUUAUAAAUUUAUAAAUUUUAUGUAUUUAAUAUAAAGAUAAUUUUUGUAACGUUUAUUUGGUUGGGGCGACAAAAGUAUAAUUUCAAAUAACUGCUAGGUUUGGUUUACAAUGAUAGUUGAUUAAUAAGUAAUUGAUCCCUUGUGAGGAAUAAAAGUUCAAGUUACUUUAGGGAUAACAGCGUUAUUUUUUCUGAGAGUACUUAUCGAAGAAAAAGUUUGCGACCUCGAUGUUGAAUUAAAAUGUCUUUAUAGUGCAGCAGCUAUACGAGAAGGUCUGUUCGACCUUUAAUAUUUUACAUGAUUUGAGUUCAGACCG
rnacentral:rRNA from 1 species